AAACUGCGAUACCUAGUGUGAAUUGCAGAAUUCAGUGAAUCAUCGAGUCUUUGAACGCAAAUGGCGCUCUCGGUUUCACCGGGAGCACGUCUGUCUGAGCAUUCGAU
rnacentral:rRNA from 1 species